CCUCUCGUCUCCGCCGCCGCCACUCUCUCCCUUGGUUUCAGCGCCGAACCAAUCCCUGCAUCCCUCCGAUCCAAACCAUCAGCCAACCCCCACCACCUGCCAAGAUUCGGUCAACCUCGACCUUUCGAUCUGGAUCAGAUGGCCAGGAGCCAUCCCAGGCGUCCUCUCCCCUCAGCCCCGCAGCAGCCGCACCGAGCCAGAUCGGGAGGAGCUCGAUUCCGUCCACCUCGCCGGAGCUUCUCUCCAGCACGCCGACGAUCAUGGCGAGGACCGGCCUCGUCCCGCUCCUCUCCUCCCCUGUAUCUCCCUUCCUCCCCGUGCUUCUCUAUCUCUCAUCUCUCUCGCUUCUCUUCACAGGAAACAGACCAUGGCAACUGUCCAUCGAGAUGGAGCCGCGGCGCCCUAGUCACCUGCCAGCUCGGGUCACUUUUGCUUCGUCCUUGCCGCCCGCUCAUGCUCCGCUCCCACCGUCAGGAACAAGCUCCCCUCGUGAGAUCCGGUGGAUCCUCGCCACCGUCCCCUGCCUGAAGAGCCCAUCUCGCCGCACCUCCCUCCGUUCCGUGCGCCCACUCUAGCGCCAUUGCAGCCUCGCGCCGCUGCAGGCUCCCUGCCGUGCCUCUGCUUCUGCAGUCGAGCAGGAGGGAGACGCCCCUGCCUCGAGCCUUCGUUGACCGUGGCCUCACCCUGGCCCAACUCUAGCAACAAUGUAGACCUCCUGCAGCGCCAAGGCCCAGUUCACCCUGGUCCAGAUCCGCAGCGCCAGUCGGGCCGACGUGAGCCGCCCUCCAGAUCCCCUCUUCCUGUUGGGCCAACAGGAUUUGGCCCAGUAUCUUUUUUUAGGCUCUGCGAAUUUAGCUAUUAUCCCAGGUUUUGCAGUUUUGCAGAAAAACCCUCAUACUUCAU